rnacentral:rRNA from 1 species
GGGUGAGUAACACGUGGAUAACCUACCUAUAAGACUGGGAUAACUUCGGGAAACCGGAGCUAAUACCGGAUAACAUGUUGAACCGCAUGGUUCAACAGUGAAAGACGGUCUUGCUGUCACUUAUAGAUGGAUCCGCGCCGCAUUAGCUAGUUGGUGAGGUAACGGCUUACCAAGGCAACGAUGCGUAGCCGACCUAAGAGGGUGAUCGGCCACACUGGAACUGAGACACGGUCCAG